GGCUGGAUAGCUCAGUUGGUAGAGUGCUGGAUCGGUAAUCUUGAGGUCCCAGGUUCAAACCCUGCUCCGGUCA